rnacentral:lncRNA from 1 species
GAAAAAACAUUGCGGGCCGUCCUGCGCUUGUGCCAUCGAUAUUUACACCUGUUUACAGACGUCCGCCUCCGGUUGACUCAACAAGUGGAACAGAGAGAUUUGGCAAAUCGCAGAAAAGACGCCAGGUAGAUGCUGCAGCUACAACUGGGCAAAGUACAGAUCUUUCAACUUCUGCCAAGUGUGCAAGCGGCACUAUACAAAGCUGCAAAACCCAAGAACAUGCUGUAGCUGAAAUGCAAAAUAUUCACAGCAUCGAAACAGUUCUCCCUGUCACUGAAGGAGGUAUUCCUGAUCCUGGGCUUUCCCCUCAAAGUCUUAAGGUUGUCCCUGCGGAAUGUGCUAGUGGGACUGUUGUCACUCAGCAGCAUACUUUACGGACUGUUGCUGUUGGCCCUAGCACUAGAACAUGUUUUUUUAGUGGCUUCCACAGCAUCAUUGGCAGACCAGAUGCACUAAGAAGUCUGUGUGGUGUUGACAGCGAUGUGUUUGCAUUAUUACUCAGUUUGUUACCAACUGUAAGGGAGAGGAGUAGUGAUGUUACAGUCCAAAAUAAGUUGCUCAUGUUUUUAAUGAAAAUGAAGCUGGGAAUAUCAUUCUCUGCAGUUGCUAUUCUUUUUGGAGUGCAUGAGAAAACUGCAUCCCGUGCAUUCUACACUGUGAUGCACACACUGACUGAAAUAACAAAGCACUGCAUUUACAAGCCCCCAAUAACUGACAUAAUAUUGUUGCAGCCACCUUGUUUUAAAGUAAAUUAUCCACAGUGCACACUCAUCAUUGCACAGAAAUGAAAACUGAAACCCCAUCCGAGGCAAGGCAGCAACACAUGCUCUACUCGACAUACAAAGGAUCCUACAGAUUAAAAUUUCUUGUUGCUAUCAUCCCAAAUGGAAUGGUGGUCCUCAAGUCCAAACCAUAUGGUGGCAGAUGUUCAGACACUUAUAUUACAUUAGAUUCAAAUUUUUUGAACCUUAUUGAAGCUCAAGAGACAAUUUUGGCUGACAGGGGCUUUUCAGGCAUCAGAACUUCCCUUGCUGAUAGAGUAGUUCUCAUAAUGCCACCUUUUUCAGUAGGAAGCAAUGUUCCCUUCACACCUGAGGACAUGGAACAGACUUACUCUGUUGCUUCUGUCCGCAUACAUGUGGAGAGGGCAAUUAAGAGGAUUAAGCAUUACAAUAUCUUAAAUCUCCGUAUACCAAUUUCGCUGAUUCCUGCAACGGAUCACAUAUUUCACAUGUGCUGCGUUUUAGCAAACUUUCAACCACACAUUAUUUUGUCAUAACGAAAAGUGCAUAAUUAAAAGCCCCUACAAUGGCUACGUGCAGAGAAAUAUUUUCUUGUUCAUACUUUUGGUUAUAUUGCUCUAGUCCUUGGCAAAGCUUGCAAACAGAUAGUGCAUCUGAAGCUUGUUUACAUGCUGUUCUUCCAUUACCGUUUUUCGUAUCCUUUAUUGUUUACAAACUUGUUACGAACUGCAGUAGCAGUGCCGGGAGGAUAAACAAAAUCAUCCCACUUCGUAGUUCCUGCACAUUUCUUGCUUAAGUUCACUGCUGUAAUAAUG